GACGAACGCUGGCGGCGUGCUUAACACAUGCAAGUCGAGCGGUAAGGCCCUUUCGGGGGUACACGAGCGGCGAACGGGUGAGUAACACGUGGGUGACCUGCCCUCAGCUCUGGGAUAAGCCUGGGAAACCGGGUCUAAUACUGGAUAUGACUCCAUGACGCAUGUUGUGGGGUGGAAAGCCUUGUGCGGCUGAGGAUGGGCCCGCGGCCUAUCAGCUUGUUGGUGGGGUGANGGCCUACCAAGGCGACGACGGGUAGCCGGCCUGAGAGGGCGACCGGCCACACUGGGACUGAGACACGGCCCAGACUCCUACGGGAGGCAGCAGUGGGGAAUCUUGCGCAAUGGGCGAAAGCCUGACGCAGCGACGCCGCGUGGGGAUGACGGCCUGGUGUAA
rnacentral:rRNA from 1 species